AUAAACGGCAUUUCCUUGUCUUUAGUUUCACAUAGCUUUACGCACUCAGCCUCUACCCUGCAGUAAUUAUUUUUGGACAGAAACUGGAAACUCUUCCAUUAUUUGAAGUCCUUACUCUCUUUUAUUUUGGUCAGAUGAAAACCUGACUUUAAGGGCUCGCUAUUGAGUCAAGUGUGCACUGUGUUGUUGGUGCUCAAGAAAGGAUUGUUUUCAAUAGAGCUGGAGUAGCUUGCUAGGAACAAUCCAUGCUUAAAAUGCCUCGGCUGAAGUUGUUUCAAAUGCUGUUUUUCCACACAGAAACACACUGGCUACUUCAUUUAGAGGAAAUCUCUCCUGUGGGUGCAAACCUGAUGUAAAUGCUCCAUUACAUCCUGCUUCUUUUCCAACCCAUCUUCAGGAACAGGAGGAAGCCAGAAAGAUGCAUCGCCUACUUUGGCAUCUCAGAGAAGAGCAUGAAGGGCCUGAAUGAAUCCAAAUCCCAGCACCCACAUAGAGCCCUUCAGCACACAAGUGGCUUCACAAGCAAACCAAACCUGAGGAGAAUUUCUGGCACCCCCUUUAGAUACUCUUCAAUAGAGAUGCAUUCAUUUGUUUGGUGA
rnacentral:lncRNA from 1 species